UACGUAGGGGGCGAGCGUUGUUCGGAAUUAUUGGGCGUAAAGCGCGUGUAGGCGGUUCGGUAAGGCGGGUGUGAAAACCCCAGGGCUCAACCCUGGGCCGGCAUCCGCGACUGCCGGGCUGGAGUGCGGGAGGGGAGAGCGGAAUUCCUGGUGUAGCGGUGAAAUGCGUAGAUAUCAGGAGGAACACCGGUGGCGAAGGCGGCUCUCUGGACCGUAACUGACGCUGAGACGCGAAAGCUAGGGGAGCAAACAGG
rnacentral:rRNA from 1 species